AUUGAACGCUGGCGGCAGGCCUAACACAUGCAAGUCGAGCGGCAGCGGGAAAGUAGCUUGCUACUUUUGCCGGCGAGCGGCGGACGGGUGAGUAAUGCCUGGGAAAUUGCCCAGUCGAGGGGGAUAACAGUUGGAAACGACUGCUAAUACCGCAUACGCCCUACGGGGGAAAGCAGGGGACCUUCGGGCCUUGCGCGAUUGGAUAUGCCCAGGUGGGAUUAGCUAGUUGGUGAGGUAAUGGCUCACCAAGGCGACGAUCCCUAGCUGGUCUGAGAGGAUGAUCAGCCACACUGGAACUGAGACACGGUCCAGACUCCUACGGGAGGCAGCAGUGGGGAAUAUUGCACAAUGGGGGAAACCCUGAUGCAGCCAUGCCGCGUGUGUGAAGAAGGCCUUCGGGUUGUAAAGCACUUUCAGUGAGGAGGAAAGGUUGAUGCCUAAUACGUAUCAACUGUGACGCUACUCGCAGAAGAAGCACCGGCUAACUCCGUGCCAGCCGCCGCAGUAA
rnacentral:rRNA from 1 species